GAUGAACGCUGGCGGCGUGCCUAAUACAUGCAAGUCGAGCGAACGGACGAGACGCUUGCUUCUCUGAUGUUAGCGGCGGACGGGUGAGUAACACGUGGAUAACCUACCUAUAAGACUGGGAUAAUUUCGGGAAACCGGAGAUUAUCCCGGAUAAUAUUUUGAACCGUAUGGUUCAAAAGUGAAAGUCGGUCUUGCUGUCACUUAACGAUGGAUCCGCGCUGCAUUAGCUAGUUGGUAAGGUAACGGCCUACCAAGGCAACUAGGCAUAGCCGACCUGAGAGGGGGAUCGGCCACAUGGGAACUUAGACACGGACCAGACGCCUACGGGAGGCAGCAGUAGGGAAUCGUCCGCAAUGGGCGGAAGCCUGACGGAGCAACGCCGAGUGAGUGAUGAAGGCCUUCGGAGCGGAAAACUCGGUUAUUGGGGAAGAACAGAUGUGGAAGGAGCUGUGCACAGCGUGACGGUAACGAAUCAGAAAGCAACGGCUAACUACGUG
rnacentral:rRNA from 1 species